rnacentral:rRNA from 1 species
GGGGAAUAUUGCGCAAUGGACGAAAGUCUGACGCAGCGACGCCGCGUGUGGGAGGAAGCCUUUCGGGUGUAAACCACUGUCAGGGGGAAGAAUGCCGGCUAGUCGAACAGGCUAGUCGGGUGACGGUACCCCA